GGAUUGUAGCUCAGCGGUAGAGCAUUCGUCUAGUACCUGUGAGGCACUGGGUUCGAUCCUCAGCACCA
rnacentral:tRNA from 1 species